rnacentral:lncRNA from 1 species
GAAACCCCAUGUAGUUCCAUUUGGUCGAAGAUCUCUUCUGCUUCUUCAAUUUUCUUGUCUUUGCAGAAGCCAUCUAUCAAAGUAUUGUAUGUUAUCACACUUCUUGCGCAGCCAAUUGACUCCAUAUCUUUGAGCAGGUUCAUAGCUUCACCUAGUCUCUUUUUGGCGUUAUCACGCUUCUUGCACAGCCACUUGACUCCAUAUCUUUGAGUAGGUUCAUAGCUUCACCUAAUCUCCUUUUGGCACAGAGACAAUCAAUUAGGAUAUUGUAAGUGAAU